UUGAUGGCAUUAUCAGCCUUGUUACAAGAUUGUGCUAACAAGUUUGUUACAGCCAUGACAUGACAAGGAUGUUACAAGGUUAUCAACACAAUGUUGUAACAAUCUUGUUAUAUCAAGCAUGUCACAGACUUGUCAGAACAACCUUGCAACAAGUCUGAUAAUUUCGACAA